rnacentral:rRNA from 1 species
GUAAACGAUGAGUGCUAAGUGUUGGAGGGUUUCCGCCCUUCAGUGCUGCAGCUAACGCAUUAAGCACUCCGCCUGGGGAGUACGACCGCAAGGUUGAAACUCAAAGGAAUUGACGGGGGCCCGCACAAGCGGUGGAGCAUGUGGUUUAAUUCGAAGCAACGCGAAGAACCUUACCAGGUCUUGACAUCCUUUGACCACUCUAGAGAUAGAGCUUCCCCUUCGGGGGCAAAGUGACAGGUGGUGCAUGGUUGUCGUCAGCUCGUGUCGUGAGAUGUUGGGUUAAGUCCCGCAACGAGCGCAACCCUUAUUGUUAGUUGCCAUCAUUCAGUUGGGCACUCUAGCAAGACUGCCGGUGACAAACCGGAGGAAGGUGGGGAUGACGUCAAAUCAUCAUGCCCCUUAUGACCUGGGCUACACACGUGCUACAAUGGGAAGUACAACGAGUUGCGAAGUCGCGAGGCUAAGCUAAUCUCUUAAAGCUUCUCUCAGUUCGGAUUGCAGGCUGCAACUCGCCUGCAUGAAGCCGGAAUCGCUGGUAAUCGCGGAUCAGCACGCCGCGGUGAAUACGUUCCCGGGCCUUGUACACACCGCCCGUCACACCACGAGAGUUUGUAACACCCGAAGUCGGUGAGGUAACCUUUUUGGAGCCAGCCGCCUAAGGUGGGAUAGAUGAUUGGGGUGAAGUCGUA